rnacentral:tRNA from 1 species
ACUGAAGUGGUGGAAUUGGCAGACACGCUGUCUUGAGGUGGCAGUGAAAUAUUUUUUCUUGGGAGUUCAAGUCUCCUCUUCAGUA